rnacentral:rRNA from 1 species
GUACGCUAUUCAGAGUUUGAUCCUGGCUCAGGAUGAACGCUGGCGGCGUGCUUAACACAUGCAAGUCGAACGAAGAAAACUUGAUUGAGAGCUUCGGCAGGAUUUCAUUUUUUCUUAGUGGCGGACGGGUGAGUAACGUGUGGGCAACCUGCCCUGUACUGUGGAAUAAUCACUGGAAACGGUGACUAAUACCGCAUGUCAUCACCGGAGGGCAUCCUCUGGUGAAAAAAGGAUUUAUUCGGUACAGGAUGGGCCCGCAUCUGAUUAGCUAGUUGGUGAGAUAACAGCCCACCAAGGCGACGAUCAGUAGCCGACCUGAGAGGGUGAUCGGCCACAUUGGGACUGAGACACGGCCCAA